rnacentral:misc_RNA from 1 species
CCCUCGGAAUAGGGCAAUAUAGAAGAAAUAAAGGAUUGCGAAGAGCCCCCGGGAGAGGGACGGCGAGAGGAGAGAAAGGAAAGUAUAAGCUUGACACUGAGAGAGAAUGAGACACUAAAGAGGACAAUAAAGAGGCUCGAAGCAAGAUUAAACGUGGAAAUGAAUGAAGAAAAUAACAAAGGAAAAAGGCCAGCGACGGAAGACACGUUGGAUCAAUUGAUGAUAGAUGCGACGAACACUGAGAAUGAGAACGAA